rnacentral:rRNA from 1 species
CAGCAGCCGCGGGAAUACGAAGGGGGCUAGCGUUGCUCGGAAUGACUGGGCGUAAAGGGCGCGUAGGUGGUUAUGUAAGUGAGAUGUGAAAUCCCCGGGCUCAACCUGGGAACUGCAUCUUAUACUGCGUAGCUGGAGUGCAGUAGAGGGUAGUGGAAAUUCCGGUGUAGCGGUGAAAUGCGUAGAUAUCGGAAGGAACACCAGUGGCGAAGGCGGCUACCUGGACUGACACUGACGCUGAUGCACGAAAGCUAGGGGAGCAAACAGGAUUAGAUACCCCCGUAGUCCCUGUCUCUUAUAC